rnacentral:rRNA from 1 species
GGACUACUGGGGUAUCUAAUCCCGUUUGCUCCCCUGGCUUUCGUGCCUCAGCGUCAGUAUCCGUCCAGAGACUCGCCUUCGCCGCUGGUGUUCCUCUCGAUAUCUACGCAUUUCACUGCUACACCGAGAAUUCCAGUCUCCCCUCCGGAACUCGAGCCGGAUAGUAUCAAGCGCACUUUCCAAGUUAGGCUUGGAGAUUUCACGCCAGACUUACCCGACCGCCUACGCACCCUUUACGCCCAGUAAAUCCGAACAACGCUUGGGACCUCUGUAUUACCGCGGCUGCUGGCAC